CCUGCCCCUAGAGGCACUGCAAGUGUGACUGCUGUGCCAUGUGUGUGUCAGUAGGUGGCAGAGAGGAGAGAGGCUACUUUAUGCUCAGUGUUCAGAUUUAUGAACUUGUAAAUGUUUCUUAGCCUAACACU
ensembl:snoRNA LOC120103297 small nucleolar RNA SNORA17